GGAAAACGGAAAACAGAGAGUUUUAGAGGAAGUAGAAGU
rnacentral:sRNA from 1 species